GUCCGAUGAGGUGGCAUGCGCCAAUAGUCCUAGCUACUCUUGAGGCUGAGGCAGGAGGAUUACUUGAGCCCAGGAGUUCUGGCCUGUAGUGCAUCAUGCACAUUGGGUGUCCACGGAGGGGUGACCACCAGGUUGCCUAAGGAGAGGGGAACUGGCCCAGGUUGGAAAUAGAGCAAGUUAAAACUUCUGUGCUGAACAGCCGUGGGAUUACUCCUGUGAAUAGCUACUGCACUCUAGCCUGGGCAACAUAACUUUACCCCCUUUCAA
ensembl:misc_RNA Metazoa_SRP Metazoan signal recognition particle RNA